CCUACGGGAGGCAGCAGUGAGGACUAUUGGUCAAUGGCCGAGAGGCUGAACCAGCCAAGUCGCGUGAGGGAAGACGGCCCUACGGGCUGUAAACCUCUUUUGUCGGGGAGCAAAGAGAGUCACGUGUGACUCAUUGAGAGUACCCGAAGAAAAAGCAUCGGCUAACUUCGUGCCAGCAGCCGCGGUAAGACGGAGGAUGCGAGGGUUAUCCGGUUGUAUUGGGUUUAAGGGGUGCGCAGGCGGAGGGGCAAGUCAGCGGUAAAAUUGCGGGGCUCAACCCCGUACUGCCGUUGAAACUGCAUCGCGUGAGGGCUGGAGAAGUAUGCGGAAUGCGUGGUGUAGCGGUGAAAUGCAUAGAUAACACGCAGAACUCCGAUUGCGAAGGCAGCAUACCGGCGCGAAACUGACGCUCAUGCACGAAAGCGUGGGUAUCGAACAGGAUUAGAUACCCUGUAGUC
rnacentral:rRNA from 1 species